CCCCACUGUGGGGACCAGGGCUGUGUCCACCAUGGCCUGGGCUGCUGUCCUCCUCAUGAUCCUCUCUCACUGCUCAGGUUCCCUCUCCCAGCCUGUGCUGACUCAGCCGCCCUCCCUCUCUGCAUCCCUGGGAGCAUCAGCCAGACUCACCUGCACCCUGAGAAGUGGCAUCAAUGUUGGUGGCUAUACCAUAUUUUGGUACCAGCAGAAGCCAGGGAGCCCUCCCCAGUACCUCCUGUACUACUACUCAGACUCAAGUAAACACCAGGGCUCUGGGGUCCCCAGCCGCUUCUCUGGAUCCAAAGACGCCUCCGCCAAUGCAGGGAUCCUGCACAUCUCUGGGCUGCAGGCCGAGGACGAGGCUGACUAUUACUGUGGCAUAUGGUACAGCGAUGCUUCUCACAGUGACACAAGCAGAUGGGGAAGUGGGACAAAACCAGCCUGCUGCUCUUACCGGUUUAUGUUAAAAUGUAUCCAUACUACUAUUAUUCAAACAUCACAAAUUUUUCCUAGUUUUUUUUUCCAAGAGAGUAUGAACAUUCAACACAAUCAAAGAAAAGCCAAAAUAAUUCUUAAACCACAAUAUUACUCAAGAUCAAUUAAUUCUGCUAAACUGCACCUUUAUCUAAAAUUCAGCUACAUCCACAGGGCAUCCCGCAAUGAAGAAUUGUGUCUAAUUAGCAACGACCAUCCCCGUCCCAGGUCCCCUCCCAGCUCUGGGAAUCCACCAUGGCCCCAGUGA